ACGGGAAUGAAGUUCUCCCUCAGUGUGUUACAUACUGGAACCGCUUAUUAAGCUGAUGACUUCUGCGU
rnacentral:ncRNA from 1 species